rnacentral:rRNA from 1 species
UGCCAGCAGCCGCGGUAAUACGGAGGGAGCGAGCGUUAAUCGGAAUUACUGGGCGUAAAGCGCGCGUAGGCGGCUUUGUAAGUCGGAUGUGAAAUCCCCGGGCUUAACCUGGGAACUGCAUUCGAUACUGCAUGGCUAGAGUAUGGUAGAGGGAAGUGGAAUUUCCGGUGUAGCGGUGAAAUGCGUAGAUAUCGGAAGGAACACCAGUGGCGAAGGCGACUUCCUGGGCCAAUACUGACGCUGAGGUGCGAAAGCGUGGGGAGCAAACAGGAUUAGAUA